CAAACUGAGUCUCCUCCCACAGCUCAUUCUCGCCCGCGCCCCGCUUCUCGUCUCCAUGUCCUCGCUGGCGUCACCGAGGCGGAUCCAUGGCGGAGAUCGGCGUUGCUUCGUUGUAUACUUAUCGUCCGGCGGCUGAUGGGGCGUGUCGUCCUCUUCGCCCGGCGGAGGUGGGGGAAGGUCGUGCCGGGACGGCUCGACACGCUCGGCCGCUGUCUGGGGGUGGGUUGACGCUGCAGUCGCCGGCGGAGGUGGGAGCGGAGAUGGGGAAGGGUGUUGUUCGUGCUCUUCGCCUUGAAUCUGGGAAGAGGCCAGCGAAUCUCGAGCGCGGAAGGCAAGUUCGCGGGAUGCGAGAUGGGUAAUUUCUCUAUCCUACUUUGUCAUGCGUUCGCUAUUUUUGUAGAUUUUGGUGGCGCCUUUUCACUUGGAAUAGGAUGGCUCGAUCUGUAGCAUAAUGUAGUGAAACACGACAGUCCUUGUUUUGUGUUUUUUGUCAAUUUAUUCAUGCAGGUUUAUAUCAUGCGUGUGAACAACUACCUGCUGGAAUUGAUGAUUGAUGAUUCCUUCUCGUUUUUUGAGGAUGAUUUUGGUGUCGUAGUGAUGUUUUGAGUCUAGGAUUUGAGUUUGGGCCGCUUGUUUAGUUCUCUGAAAUUCAUCUUAAUAUGUCUUUGUAGUUUGUACUGUUUGAUUUGGAGGCAUCUUGGUGUGUCAAUUUUCACCUUAAUGUAGUUGGGACAGCUUGUUUAGUUCUCUUUUUUGUGCUGUUUGAUUUGGAGGUAGCUUGGUGUGUCAAUUUUCAUUAUCCACGAUUAACCACAAGGAAUUGUUAUAUUUGGUGUUGUAGUGCUCUACUGCUCUUUUGAGUGACAGUAUUUUCUUGUGUGUGGGGAGAUGGUAUGUAGUUUUUGUCAGUGGUCUGAAGUUCAUCUGCAGUUAUGUUUGAUGAUUUUGGUGGUUUCCGGAUUAUCUCAUUUUCAGUAGCCAUGAUGAAUUGUCAGAUUUUUUUGUGGUUAUGUGUAGCUUUUUUUUGCAGUUGGUAUCCCUUCAUUCAUGGAGUUCGUGAGUCGAGCAGUUGAGCGACUAGUCAUGAAAUAUUUGAGUACACUGACUCACUUUUUGGGCUUGAAUUAGUGAGGCGCUCAACUUGCUAGAUUGAAAGUUGGAACACUAGCUAUUUUAUAGGCUUGCUCAAGAACGAGCCACCUCAUGUAGAGCAAGUAUAAUAAGUCCUAGUCAGCUGGCUAUAAGGUUAAAAUAAUAUAUUCAUGCUUAGUUGGAGGAGAGAGAUGAGGAGAGAGAAGAGGAGUGGGUUCUAAUGCAAGAGCCAACUCUAGCACGUGCUUCUAGGCACUUUGUGAGAGUAAAAUGUGGACCAUCUAUUGAUAAAGUAAUACAUGAUUAUAGCUCACUAUUAUACAUAUUGGCUCUAUAUUAGCUACAAAUGACAUGGCACAUGGCUUAUAGCCAGCAGCUGGCUAUACUAUUAAACUUGCUCGUAGGAGCAGGCCGCCGCUGCCAUCCAGUGACCAUCCGCCGCCGUUGUUGACCAGAAGCAUUGCGACGUCCUCCCUCCUCUGGUUCUGGUCAUAUCUGGUUGUAAUUAAUGUAUGUACAUGUCGACUAGUCCAGCUGUAGUCUGCAAAUAUUGCUUCAGUAAUCGUACAAAGUAUCUGUUACUCAUGUUUUUUUUAAAUAUAGCUGUUUUGUAUUAUAUGAUGCAGCCCCAUCUGCUAGUUGUGCCCAUUGCAAGGUCCUCCCCUCCUCCGGCUCUGCUCCUAUCUGGUUGUAAUAUAUGUGCCCAUUUUAUCUGUUACUCAUUUUGUCUGAAACCAUAGUGUCAUCUUUUUUAUAAGUGGCUAAUUCUAUGUGUUCAAUGAUGAAUGUGUAAAUAGAUUUUGUUUUCUCUGUUAAUUUUUUCAGAAGCAAUCAUUUUUUAGGUGUGUCAAAUGUGUUUUGUCCAAUGACUUUGCUCUUUUCUUGAUGUGUGGUGGUCAUACUGGAAGAAGAUUCAGGAUAUUGUGUGCUCCCAGAUUGUCCUUCAGCACCAAAGAAGGUGAAUCAGAACAUGGAUAUGUCACUUGCAGCCAUAUUUGUUCUUUCAGACGUAGCUGGGCAAUAACAUUCUACAGCCUUCAGUAUGCAUUCCCGGAAUUCUAGUAUUCCUCACCGAUCGGAUCCACCCCAACCUACAGCGCAAUCGAUCGUCUCCGUCAGGGCACCAGUUCAGCCACUGGAAGCCUCCUCAAGGUCCCUUGGCUUGGUUUCAUAUCAUUUCUAUGAAUCUCCAAGUUUUGCACUUCCUUCAUUUCCUGAAAUCUCUCAGCCUGAAAUCCUGGACACCCUGGACAACUGGAUACAUUUUGACCUAUGGCAGAAGUUAUUUGUGUCCGUCCUGAACGAUCCAGGUUCCAACAACAGCCUCUGCACUCCUCCUUGAUGAUCCUGUUGGACCUAAGGUCAUAGCAACUUAUCUUCAUUCCACAUGAAUCAGGAACUACAUGUCAGCAACCUGUUUCAUGGGCCUGGCCUUUUUGCAUAAGUUGAUAAGGUGAUUCGGACUGUACCUUAGGUUGCAAAGCAUCAAGUGGAUGUAGGGUUUCUUGCAGAUCUGCUUUUCCUUUCUUCUUGUCCGGUGGGAGCUCUUCCCCGUCCAGACAGGAGCAGGUGUUUUUUUAUGGGCUUUCUUGUGUUGUGCGUGGUGGAAGGAAAAAAACCGACUGAAAAUGGCUUGUACUGAAAUCUGUCUGUUCCGGGUUAAUGAAACAGACACUUUUUUUCAUUAUCCAAGUGUUUUUCAUUUAAAUGAAAUACACAGCUGUCUUCAUUU